CCCGCAGGGACGAGGCGCAAGGGUGAGUAAGGCGACGGUAACCAGCCCCAGGGCCGGGCAUAACCGCGGGAAACUGCGGAUAAUUCCCGGCGACGUCACGCGUCGGCAUCGGCGUGUGACCAAAGGUGCGAUUCCGCCCUGGGACGGGCCGUUGUGGUAUCAGGUCGUUGGCGGGGUAACGGCCCACCAAGCCUGGGACGCCUACCGGGCGUGCGAGCGUGGCCCGGCACACUGGGACUGAGACACUGCCCAGACACCUACGGGUGGCUGCAGUCGAGAAUCUUCGGCAAUGGGCGCCAGCCUGACCGAGCGACGCCGCGUGGAGGACGAAGGCCUUCGGGUUGUAAACUCCUGUCGAGGGGGAACAAGGAUCGCGGAGAGCGAUCUUGAGUGAUCCCUGGAGGAAGCACGGGCUAAGUUCGUGCCAGCAGCCGCGGUAAGACGAACCGUGCGAACGUUAUUCGGAAUCACUGGGCUUAAAGCGCGUGUAGGCGGGUCGGCACGUCGGUCGCUGAAAUCCCCCGGCUCAACCGGGGAACGGGCGCCGAUACGACCGACCUGGAGGGGGGUAGGGGGAGACGGAACUUCCGGUGGAGCGGUGAAAUGCGUUGAGAUCGGAAGGAACGCCCGUGNCGAAAGCGGGCUCCUGGACCCCACCUGACGCUGAGACGCGAAAGCCAGGGGAGCGAACGGGGAUUAAAUACCCCGGUAGUCCUGGCCGUAAACCAUGGGCACUGGGUAGGGGGCUCGC
rnacentral:rRNA from 1 species